rnacentral:lncRNA from 1 species
CCCCCAGCCAAAUAUAACUUCAUCUUCUUCCCAAACAUCACACCCACUCCGCUGCCGCCCUCCACCUUACCAACCACAGCCUAAAACGUUCAUUUUCAGGGUGCCUGCCCAAUCCGUCAAUGAAAACGAUGCCCCGGAGGAGGUCAAACACAAAGAGGAACAUUAUUGGCAUUCCACAAGACCACAACCCUAAAUUGCAUCAUUCAUUCUAAAAAUUCAAAAUCUUAAGAAAAAAUUGCUCUGAAUUUAUUCUUCUUGGCGAUUCUUUUUUGGCCUCAUCGACUAUUGCCAGUUCAGGAGGCCCAUUCACAAGGCUCAAAUUUGGCUCUGAGCGUGUCUCUGUUUCCAUUGAUAUCUACAAUCAAGGAUUCGCGUGUCGUCAAAUUCCAUCUCUUUUACAGUUUUGCUUAGAUCUGCCAUUAUUUUUUAGUUUCCUACUAUAGAUUUUUUUUUCUUAAUUGUUUGAUUUGGAAUUUGGAUUGAUUCUGUGUUUUAUAGUUGACAAAUUUGAUUGGGAUUAUUGGAUUCAGAGUUUUGUUGUUUAAUUAAAUUUUAUUCCUUUUAUGAUAAUUAAUGACUUAGUGGGAGAAAUUGAGCUCCUGUAAAUGCCUUACGAGCAAUUGACCUGUCUUUAUUUUUAUUGAUCUUAAUUUAGAUUUUUUGAUUUGUUGCAUGAGUUUUGAUUUGGAAGUUGGAUUUAUUUUGUGUUAUGUAAGUUGAUCGAACUGGCAUCUCCCAAUUUGCAAAUUCAAAUCCGACUGAUUGUCCAAAACCUGCUCAAAAGGCAGCCUAAAAAUGAUGUUUCAGGCCGUGGUUGGUGAGGUGGACGGCGGCUGUAUUGUGGGGGUGAUGUUUGGGAAGAAG